GAUGAACGCUGGCGGCGUGCCUAAUACAUGCAAGUCGAGCGGAAAGGCCCUUCGGGGUACUCGAGCGGCGGACGGCUGAGUAACGCGUAGGAACGUACCCCAAAGUGAGGGAUAGCUGCUCGAAAGAGUAGCUAAUACCGCAUGUGCUCUUCGGAGUAAAGCUUCGGCGCUUUGGGAACGGCCUGCGUCCUAUUAGCUAGUUGGUGAGGUAAUUGCUCACCAAGGCGACGAUAGGUAGCUGGUCUGAGAGGAUGAUCAGCCAGACUGGGACUGAGACACGGCCCAGACUCCUACGGGAGGCAGCAGUAGGGAAUUUUCCACAAUGGGCGAAAGCCUGAUGGAGCAACGCCGCGUGCAGGAUGAAUGCCUUCGGGUUGUAAACUGCUUUUAUAGGUGAAGAAUAUGACGGUAACCUAUGAAUAAGGAUCGGCUAACUCCGUGCCAGCAGCAGCCGCAG
rnacentral:rRNA from 1 species